rnacentral:rRNA from 1 species
UACGUAGGGUCCGAGCGUUGUCCGGAAUUAUUGGGCGUAAAGAGCUCGUAGGCGGUUUGUCGCGUCUGCUGUGAAAUCCCGAGGCUCAACCUCGGGUCUGCAGUGGGUACGGGCAGACUGGAGUGCGGUAGGGGAGAAUGGAAUUCCUGGUGUAGUGGUGAAAUGCGUAGAUAUCGAGAGGAACACCGGUGGCGAAGGCGAGUCCCUGGAAAACACCUGACACUGAGGCACGAAAGCUAGGGGAGCAAACAGG